ACGCACGCUGGCGGCGUGCUUAACACCUGCAAGUCGCACGGUGAAGCCCUUCGGGGUGGAUCAGUGGCGAACGGGUGAGUAACACGUGAGCAACCUGCCCCUGGCUCUGGGACAACCACUGGAAACGGUGGCUAAUACCGGAUACGACCCGCCUCGGCAUCGAGUGUGGGUGGAAAGUUUUUCGGCUGGGGAUGGGCUCGCGGCCUAUCAGCUUGUUGGUGAGGUGAAGGCUCACCAAGGCGACGACGGGUAGCCGGCCUGAGAGGGCGACCGGCCACACUGGGACUGAGACACGGCCCAGACUCCUACGGGAGGCAGCAGUGGGGAAUAUUGCACAAUGGGCGAAAGCCUGAUGCAGCGACGCCGCGUGAGGGAUGACGGCCUUCGGGUUGUAAACCUCUUUCAGCUCCGAAGAAGCGAAAGUGACGGUAGGAGCAGAAGAAGCACCGGCUAACUACGUG
rnacentral:rRNA from 1 species